rnacentral:lncRNA from 1 species
ACAUGAGUCAUGUUUGGUUGUAUGUAGUAGAAAGCGCUGCAAGUAUAAAUAAUUUGUUUGGUUGCAUGCAAUUGAGAAAUAAUUUUUAAAAUUUUAUUAUUUUAUAUAUAUGAUGGUGAGAUUACCUCCAAUGUAAAAAAGAAAAAUAAUUUUUGUUUAAAAAAUAUUGAGGAGGUAAGCAUACAUUUUAUUUAAAGUUACUCUCUCCAACUACUGU